ANAGUUUGAUGCUGGCUCAGAAUGAACGCUGGCGGCGUGCUUAACACAUGCAAGUCGUACGAGAACGCUCUAGCUUGCUAGAGCAAGUAAAGUGGCGCACGGGUGAGUAACGCGUGGGUAAUCUACCUUCGAAUUGGGGAUAACGUUGCGAAAGCGACGCUAAUACCGAAUAAUAUCCAUUAAUUUUAGGGUUUUUGGAUCAAGGGUGGCCUCUACAUGUAAGCUACUGUUUGAAGAUGAGCCCGCGUACCAUUAGCUUGUUGGUGGGGUAAUGGCCUACCAAGGCAGCGAUGGUUAGCUGGUCUGAGAGGAUGAUCAGCCACACUGGAACUGACACACGGUCCAGACUCCUACGGGAGGCAGCAGUGAGGAAUUUUGCGCAAUGGGGGAAACCCUGACGCAGCAACGCCGCGUGAGUGAUGAAGGCUUUCGGGUCGUAAAGCUCUGUCAAGUGGGAAGAACCUAUAUAAUGCUAAUAUCAUUAUAUACUGACGGUACCACUGAAGGAAGCACCGGCUAACUCCGUGCCAGCAGCCGCGGUAAUACGGGGGGUGCAAGCGUUAUUCGGAAUCAUUGGGCGUAAAGGGCACGUAGGCGGCCUGGUAAGUCAGAUGUGAAAGCCCGGGGCUUAACCCCGGAAGUGCAUUUGAUACUGCCAGGCUUGAGUAUGGGAGAGGGAAGUGGAAUUCCUGGUGUAGAGGUGAAAUUCGUAGAUAUCAGGAGGAACACCGGUGGCGAAGGCGACUUCCUGGACCAAUACUGACGCUGAGGUGCGAAGGCGUGGGUAGCAAAC
rnacentral:rRNA from 1 species